CAAACCGGUCAUAAUAUUCCCCAAGGUGGAAAAAGUAUACUUUUCGAUUGUCCUCGAUACUUUUAAUCAUCCUCGCUAAUUAAGUAAUUGGAUACAAAAUGGUGAUCUGAUAUUUCACGCCCGUGUUUGCGUUAUAGUCUUCAUUCCGUUUGUCACUGCAAGCUCCUAAGUAAUGCCAUUUUGUCUUCCCAAAAUAUGGCAAUGUCAACAAAGUAAGCUCCGCCCACUUGUGGUUGUUUACUUAUAUCUAAUCACAUGUUUCUUCCUGUCUUUUUGCGCAUGCUGAUUGUCGGCUCCUUUGAUCAAUACUUCCCAUAAUCCCACUACGAGCAACGGUCGAGGAACGGCGGUGGAUGCAAGCUCAACGACGGGGGCCACCAGGCAGAGGAUCACAGGCAGUGUCCAAGAAGAGGCAGGUCAGAGUGACCAAGAAGGGCAGACCAACCAAUCAGCUGAAGACAGUUUUUUGUGUGUCAAAGUUCAAGAGGGUGCAGAAAACAGUCAUGGCGUAGAAGCAGAAGAAGACAAGGAACCAAUC